UUCGUCUGUCCGUCCGCCCGUCCGUCUAUCCGUCUGUCCACACAUGGACGGACAGACGAACGGAUAGACGGAUGGACGGACGGAUGGACAGACGGACGCA
rnacentral:pre_miRNA from 1 species